GACUGGCCAUUUACUGGUUCGGGCAAAUGCCCGACGGGCCGUUUGCUUUGAAAUGUAAAUGGGCCGCUUGACGAAAAAUGCUAAUUAGGCCCGCCUUUAAUAUGUAAAUGAACUGUUCCCACAACAGAGUUAACACCUUCGGCAAUCAACAAACCGGAUAAUAGAACAAACAGCCUGCUUUGAACAGAGUGGCAUAAGAGGUGGAGAGACUGGAGAUAUGCUAAUCACUGUUCUAAUGCCUCGCCAUCUAGUGGAAGUGUAGGGGAAGUGCAUAUACGGGUAUGAAAGGUCACAGAAGAAGGCCAGUAAGCUUUUCCAGUUGUGUUAAUAUAGAACCGAACGAAUGUGUCUGUGUGCACCCAAAGAUAGGCAUUGGCAUAAGAUCUGCCAGACUUCUCAGGUAAUUGCAGGCAGUUGGGCUCCAGCCAGGCAUGCAGUAUGGCAGCAUUUACUGUGGGAAGUGUGUAUGGGUUCUGUGAGGACAUGUUUAUGUUUAUUGGUAACUAUUCCUGGGGGAAAACGUAGUGCUUUUUUAUUACUUAUGGGGGAAUGGGAGUAGCCACAGGAACAAUCUAAGAGACAAUUAGAUGAUAAUAUAUAAACAUAAUAUUUUGGACUGUGACACAUGGUGAUCAAGCUCUCUUAGGCCACGAAUCCAAUCCACAGAAUAGCUGUGAUAGAAACUGGGGUGAGAUAUUUGUUGCAAGGGUCAGUUUAAGCAUUUAGGGUGUACAAUAAUGCUGGUAAUUAUAUGAUAAUGGACCCUGCUUGGUACAAGAAAUAGAGCUCUUAAAAUAUUUAUUAAUAAACACUAGUUCUAGUUCACCCUAGUCCUUGGGGUUGAAAAUAUAUAUAUCAUGCUUUGCAUUGGCGAGAAAACAUGGGCUGCUUUGAUACUUUUGCCAGGGCUGCUUUUUCCUCCCAGUCCGGCCCUGAUUUCCAGCAUGCAAGUGAUUUGUGUGCCCUUGUUGCAAGCACUGUAGGACUCUGGAGCUAGGAGGGGGUGGUAGUUUCAGGAAGAACUGAGCAAUGCUUAGCGUAACUAUAUGAAAGUGUUAAGAGCAAAUAGAAGUGAGUUUACACGCAACUGAUUUUUUUAAAAAACUUAUGCAAUUUUUAAUAAUUUUCAGUCAGGGUAAUAUUUCUUUUCUAAUAUAUUUUUCUUUUGCCUGUUUUUAUAUGAACAGGCAAUGAUAUUUGCCUGGAAAUAAUUCUCAGGGUCAUGCUCUAGAAAUGUCAUAGCACUUACAUAUCAGGUUAUAAAGAAAUCAGUAUAAGAAGGUGCAGAUUAAAAAAAUACAUGGAAAAAGAGCAAAAGACCAGCUAAACAAAUUGCUUACAAUCGGUCUACCUAUAUAACACUAAAUUAAAGGUUACAUUUUUCUUUAAUGAGAUUUUAUUAUCACCGUGAAAUCAACCCAUUUCAGUUAGAUGUUAUGCUGUUAAAAUAGCACUGAGUUUCAUUAAAAAUGCAUAUACCGUAUAUAGUUCCCUAUUUAUUCACCAAAGCAAACUUGACAGCAUCAUUAUAGAUACCAGGAGAAUUAUAGAAGUUACCUAAACUGUUUGGUUUAUAACAAUCUGGAUAAAACAUGGCGACACACAUGCAUUUGUUGGGUUUCACUUUUUAUAAUUUAACCCUUUCUCUACCACAGAUUCCACUCUUCAGGAACAGCAUUUUGCAAUGAUGUAGUACCUGCAUUGUUUGCAGGGAAAAGGUUAAGAAAAAAUACAAACACAGUUGAAUAACCAUACUACGGCAAGAAUAUAUUUAUGGAUUACGAAGUUACUCCAGAUACUGUUGUUGAUAAUAGAGCAUUAGGAGUAAAUACUGAAUCAUAUUAUGAUGAUGAUAAUGAUGAUGAAGAAAGUACCUUGGAAAACAGCAGAAACAUGCAAAAAGCUUCUACUGUAGCACCUACUGGAAAACCUUUUUCAUUACAAGAGCGGAUAGAAAAAUCCUUUAAAAUCCUGGAAGAGAGGAAUUAUAGGGAUCUUGUUAUCCUGGGAUCAGUUAUUGGAAGUUGUUUCCUACUAUUUAUUGGAUUGCUGUUGUAUUUGACAUAUGUAAUCUCUGACUUAAAGAUAGCAAAGAGUGAAAUUGUUUAAAAUCCUGGGUGAAAUAAAUAAUAGGAACUGUUAUCCUCAGUUCAGUUUUUGGAGGUUAUAUCCUGCUACAUUUGGAUUGCUUCUUUAAUGGACAUAUGUCAUCUCUGACAGAUAUAUGACAUCUUUGAAUCUUGAAGCACUUUUUCUUUGUGUGACUUUCUGAGUUUGCUUUGUAAGAACCAUAAAUAAAAUAUGUAAAAAAAAAACACUGUGUGUUAUCAGUAUUUGGCUCUUUUAGGAAAGUUAUUAUAAUUUUUUUUAAGAUUCAAGACAAAUUACAUGGCACUGACAGACUGUAUAUUGCCUUG